ACCGUAUAUCUCCGCUGACCAGCUUCUCUCUCUUCUUCCAUACGCUUUACCAUCUUCUCCACAAACACACGUUUCUCUGUCAUUAUCAAAACAAAGUUCAAAAUCACCCUAAAUCUCUAUUUCUCCGCCAUUAUCAAAACAAAGUUCAAAAUCAUCAGGGAUUCACUCUUCUAUUUCCGAUUUUUACACUCAUGGAAUCUUUGAGUUUUCUCUCCAAUGACGGAUUCAACGCCACUCAACAGAGUACCCAGAGGUUUAUCAGCAUCCGCAGUUGAUGAGAGAAGAACUAAAUUACACAAUGGCAAGUUGAAAGAAGUCGAAGUUGAUAAAUCUUCAAAAGAAACCAAAAAUCCAGUUGGCUCAAAGAGGAAAAAACCUAUGAAAGAUUCACAAAUCCAAAAG